AUUGAACGCUAGCGGGAUGCUUUACACAUGCAAGUCGAACGAGUGGCGGACGGGUGAGUAAUAUAUCGGAACGUGCCCAGUAGCGGGGGAUAACUACUCGAAAGCGUGGCUAAUACCGCAUACUCUGAUUUCGGCCGCUAACAGAUUAGCUAGUUGGGGGGGUAAAGGCUCACCAAGGCAACGAUCCGUAGCUGGUUUGAAGGGACGAACAGGCACACUGGGACUGAGACACGGCCCAGACACCUACGGGAGGCAGCAGUGGGGAAUUUUGGACAAGGGGGGAAACCCUGAUCCAGCCAUCCCGCGUGUAUGAGAAGGCCUUCGGGUUGUAAAGUACUUUUGGCAGAGAAGCGGUAUCUGCAGAAUAAGCACCGGCUAACUACGUGCCAGCAGCCGCGGUAAUUC
rnacentral:rRNA from 1 species